UCUCUUUCUCUUAGUCCUUCUCUUUUCUGUUUCUCUUCAACGACAUAAGAGAGAUCACAGUAGCCCCUCUUCUUCUCCAGCACGAGUCCUUCUUCUCCUUCCUCUUCACCAACAAGCAAGAGGAACGCGAGCAACAUCCCCUCCCUUCCCUCUCUUUCUCUUCUUCCUUGUUCUCCUGCAUCUGGUCAGCACCACUGGAGCUCGCUGGAGCUUGCUGUUAAAGGAAGGGAAGGAAUCCUAGCUGUUGCCCUCUUUUGGCAACAAGAGCAGCAAGUUGUUACUCUCUCUUUUCCAACCAAUCACAACUACUGUCGGAGCUCCACCGGAGCUAGCUGAGGUCUCGCCGAACUCGCCGAGGCUACUAGUAAAGAGAGAAAGAUCAUCCAUUUCUGUGUUCUUUUAUUUUCAGCCCUCCCUUCUUCUCCGAUAGCUUCAACAGCAGCACCCUAGAUGUUUCCUUUCUUUUUCCUAGCAAAUAGCCACUCUUGUUGUCUUUGCUUCUUGGCAGCAACCAUCGAAGCUCGCUGCAACUUGCUGGAGUUGCCAACAAAGAGAGGAAGAUAACCCUAAUUGCUACCCUCAUUUCCAGCAGCCACAAUAAUCUUUAGAAGGUAUACUUUAUGCCUUGUAUUAAUCAAUAUGUAGUUAGGACUUAGGAGGGCUAUCUAGAUUAGAAUAGUGGUUUCUUUUAGGAAUGUGAAGUGGUAUGAGCUAGCGGAUCAAAAUAAUUCACCGAUUUCGAAUGAUAGACAAUAUUUAGAUUUUAGGUCAUUAUUCUUAUUAGAUAGUAUUUUGAUUAUUUGAAUUAUGUUUGGUAUUAUGUUUGUGGACACGAGCUCGAGUAGAGCACGGUGACCUGCCGACACUCGAAGAUUUUGCUGUAUAUAAAGUGAGUACAUCUAUCUUUGACUCCUAUAUUUAUCCUUGUGCAUGAAUAAAGAUGUAAAAUACCGAAAAUAGGCGAAUAUUAAUAAGGAAAUUUUUCGGAAUUUUUGGGAAUUUUUCGGAGCUCGUAUGAACGAGUUUACGGGGAUAAAAACAGGACCUCGGGAAGGCCUAUUUGGGCUACCCUAUCUUAAAGAGGAAAUGUUUAUUUUCUUUAACUCAUUUCCUUUUUCUUUUAAUUUAUUUUAUUUUGAUUUAUUUCCUCUUCUUCGCCCCGUGUCUCACCCGAGCUCCCUCACGCGAUCUCCCUCUUCGCGCCCGACUCUUUCCCCGUGCCCUAACCGGCGCCGCACGAGCGGUUCCUCCUCCCCGAGUGCACAAAACCCCUCGGCCACUUCUUCUUCUUGCUUCUUCUCACCACUGCCCGAAGCUUCUUCAUCUUCCUUGACUCCGAAUUGGCGCCGACUCCUCCUCCCCUUUGGGCUCUCGACACCGCCGAUCCCUUGCCGCUGCCCUAGCGCCGAUGCCUCAUCCGAGCCUCUACUUGGUUGUGCUCUAGAUCCCUCCAGCCGGCUGCCGCCGAUCCAACUCGAGUCUGUAUUCUACAGGUUCGAACAAGGGCAUGUGGUGGUGCCCUAGACCUCUAUCUUUAGUGAGUUUAUCCUCUAUGACCAGUUUGAUCUCAGAUCGGCACAGUUGAGGAUAUAUUGAUUUCUAAUUGGGCUCUUUUCUCCAGCACUGACUUAGGGUUUUGGCAGUGGGCUGAUAGAAGAGCAUCCCAGCCACUGCUGCUUGCUACCAUCGUCGGAGAAGAAGGACAGGUUGAUGCUGUCAAGAGAGAGUUCUAGUUGAUAGUCCCCUGCAGACCACGAAAAAAAUGUUGGAUGAUCUUUUAGUUUUAUUGUUUAGAGCACAAGGAUCCUUUUGAUAUUGUGGUUGAUUUUAGACUUCCAUAGAGUUGUUCCUCAGAGAUCUCUACGUGCUGAUUUUUCUGCCCGUUCAAGAGUCUCUCCAUGCACAAGCUCUGGGACAUCAUCAUCAUCUUCACCUUUAGCAGCAGCACCAGCAGCAUCAGGUGCUUGCUUCUGCAAGUGCUCUGCAAGCCUCCCCAAGUUCUCUAACUUAUCA